UUUGACUUACCACACUCGUCUUGCUGCUACGUCAGACUAGCCAUUGCACCAGACUAGCCGUUGUGCUAGACUAGCCAUCGUGUCAGUUCUGUCGUAGAGUUGUAUUGCCGUCAUGCCGGUCUGAGGUACCGUGCCCAUCUUGCCGCCACGUCAAACUCGCCAUCGUGCCAGGUUGGUUGGCAUUGGUUUUUCCGUCAAGUAGUAUUUCCGUCGUGCCGGUCUGAGGUACUGUGCCCGUCUUACUACCACGUCAAGUCAGUCACUGCACUAGUCUAGCAAAUGUGCCAGCCUAGCCACCCGGUCAAACUUCUUCUCUCACUUUCAC
rnacentral:lncRNA from 1 species